rnacentral:rRNA from 1 species
GACGAACGCUGGCGGCGUGCUUAACACAUGCAAGUCGAACGGAAAGGCCCUGCUUUUGUGGGGUGCUCGAGUGGCGAACGGGUGAGUAACACGUGAGUAACCUGCCCUUGACUUUGGGAUAACUUCAGGAAACUGGGGCUAAUACCGGAUAGGAGCUCCUGCUGCAUGGGGGGGGUUGGAAAGUUUCGGCGGUUGGGGAUGGACUCGCGGCUUAUCAGCUUGUUGGUGGGGUAGUGGCUUACCAAGGCUUUGACGGGUAGCCGGCCUGAGAGGGUGACCGGCCACCUUGGGCCUGCGAUACGGCCCAGACUCCUACGGGAGGCAGCAGUGGGGAAUAUUGCACAAUGGGCGGAAGCCUGAUGCAGCAACGCCGCGUGCGGGAUGACGGCCUUCGGGUUGUAAACCGCUUUCGCCUGUGACGAAGCGUGAGUGACGGUAAUGGGUAAAGAAGCACCGGCUAACUACGUG